GCCAACCUGGCCUACGUAGAUAGAAAACAUUUUAUAAUAAAAAAAAAAACUAAAUUUAAAAGAAAACACAUAUCAAAUCCAGUGGUGGAAACCUGUUUACUUCCUUAAGAGGAGAGGCUGCAGUAUCACAAAAUUCUUCCUCACCAUAUUUUGUGGAGUUAUAUUGCAUGUGACCUUUAUCAUGUGGCUAAGGCUGUAAGAAAAGUGGCAUGUGUGACUUUUCAACUUAAGAAAAUAUAAUGGACUUUAUCCUGCCCCCAACUUUGGAAUAGAGGAGAAGAAUGAGGAAACUCCAUGUAGAGCAUCCAUUCUUCUAAGAAAAGAAGCAAAUAUGUCUGUGAUGUCUGAGUUUGGUGCAGUUUUCUUAUUUCCUUUUUUCUUUUUUUUAUUUAUAAAAGCAUGAAUAACUUUUCCUUUGACCCAAUAUGCAUACUUGGACAUUUGGCUUAUUUUACCAGUGAUGGCUUAAAAUGCUGAGAGUCAAGUAACUUUCCCAUUUGGGGCUGAACUUUCUUAUCAGAGACUGGCCUCAGAAGAGAUGUUCCUGUGGUUGGCUCAUUGUAGAUUUAGUAGUUCAGGAUGAGAAAAACGCCUCACUUAAAAAAACCCACAAAACUUCCAGUGUGGAUCUGAUGAGACAUUAGAUUAGAAGAAAUUCAGGGCUGCAAAAAACAAAGCAAAACAAAACUU